GCCCAUGUAGCUCAGUUGGCAGAGCACCUCCUUGGUAAGGAGGAGGUCUCGGGUUCGAGUCCCGACAUGGGCUCCA
rnacentral:tRNA from 1 species